UCGCCUGUUUAACAAAAACAUGUCUUUUUGAUUAUAAUUUAAAGUUUGGCCUGCCCUAUGAAUAAGUUAUUUUUAAAUGGCUGCGGUACUCUGACCGUGCAAAGGUAGCAUAAUAAUUAGUUUUUUAAUUGGGAACUGGUAUGAAAGGUCGCACGAGAAAAAGACUGUCUCAAUUUAAUUUAAAUUAGAAUUUUAUUUUUAAGUAAAAAAGCUUAAAUAUUUUUAAAAGACGAGAAGACCCUAUAGAGUUUUAUAUAACUUAAUAUUUUUAAAAGUUAAAGAAUUUUAAAUUUAGUUAUAUUAAGUUAUAUUUGGUUGGGGCAAUUAAAAAAUUAAAUAAAUUUUUUUUAAAUUAUAACAUUGAUAUAUGAAUAAGUGAUCCAUAUUUUAUGAUUAGAAGAUUAAAUUACCUUAGGGAUAACAGCGUAAUUUUUUUUAGAGUUCUUAUCGAAAAAAAAGUUUGCGACCUCGAUGUUGGAUUAAAA
rnacentral:rRNA from 1 species